GGCUCAUAACACGUGGAUAAUUUGCCCUUAGGUCUGGGAUAACCUCGGGAAACUGAGGGUAUACCGGAUAGGGAAAUCCAACUGGAAUGUGGAUUUCUUUAAACGUAAGGCCUAAGAAUGAGUCGGCCGGUGGAAUUAGCGUUGUUGGUGAGGUAAAGGCUCACCAAAGCCGAAGAUCCGUAGGGGCCUUUAGAGAAGGUAGCCCCGAGAAGGGCACUGAGAUACUUGCCCCUAGCUCCACGGAGUGCACGCAGGCAGCGAAACCUUUUACAAUGCACGCAAGUGUGAUAAGGGAACCCCAAGUGAUGAUGCUUUGCAUUGUCUUUUGCUGAGAGUAAAUAUCUCUACGAAUAAUUGGUGGGCAAUACCUGUGCCAGCCGCCGCGGUAACCCAGGAGCCACAAGUAACAACCGUAUUUAUUGGGCUUAAAGCCGUCCGUAGCCGGUCUUGUAAAUUUUCUGUGAAAUAAAUGUGCUUAACAUAACCGCGUGCAGAAAACACUACAAGACUUGUGACCCCGGAUGAGUUAGAAGUAUUUCAUGGGGAGCCGCAAAAUGCUUUAAUUCUUGAAGGACCACCUGUGGCGAAAGCGUUUAACUUAUAACCGGCUCCCCCGGUGAAGGACGAAAAGCUUAGGGAACCCUCCGGAUUAUAUACCCGAGUAGUCUUAGCUGUAAACUCUGCNAGNUAGGUGUUGCAUANUCUUAGGGAAUGUGCAGUGUCGUAGCNAAGGUGUUAAGCUCGCCGCCUGGGGAGNACGGUCCAAGGCUGAACUCAAAGGAAUUGACG
rnacentral:rRNA from 1 species